CCUUUUUCUCCUUCUUAAUUCAAACGGUCAACUUUCCUUCUCUCUCUCUCCCCUCACUUCUCGGCUGCGCCCUUUCUCUUCAGCUAUCUAUCUCUUCCCGUGCGAGUUCUUUUCUUAGUUCCACCCUUUUGAGCGUCAAUCCUUCCGUAAUGUCGUCGUUGGUUAAGUGUCAGCGACGAUCCGACGAGGGAAGCUCUGGCACUGCCUCUGCCUCCGUGCAUCACAAGCUCAACUCAGCCCUUAGCUGCCAAAUUUUCCAGCCACGAGCUUCUCUUCACUCGGAAUUCUCCAAUCAAGUUUGAUUGAGGUAGCUCUCCCGAUUGUUGAGCCUGAGAUCAGCCUAACUGCUGGAGUCACUUUUACCUUAGCUAGCCAUGAGGGCAGCUCCUCUUAAGCACUAGUCUCCACUCCAUCUUCCUCCACUGAUGUCUUGAUCCUCCUUGAUCGAUUGCUCCAAUCCACUCCAGCCAUGGUCCGAGAAGUCAAGGCUAUAGAGCCAGUUGCUCCGGCCACAGCUGUUGUAGUCCUAGCUGAUGUGAGGGCUGCAAGGAAUCUUAUGAUGGCUUACUUUUGAAAGCCUAUUCACAAGGCAGGGAUGGAAGUUGAUCUAGAUGCACUCCACCAAGCAGUUGAUAUUCUACUUGCACCUCCUAAUCUACCAGCUGAGCUGCACAAUUCUCUCAGCCGAUUACAUGGGUGAGUAGCUGCACUCUUACACAACUAAAAUUUUGAUAUGGCUACCAGGACGUCAAUGAUGGAGAAACUGGAUAGCUUGAAGUUGUCCUUUAGUGUAGCUGAGGAGACUAGAGAGUAGCUGACAGGAUUAAAAGAGCUGAAAGCGAAACCAAAGUAGCCCGCUUGGAGCAGGAACUAGCUACAGCUAAGGAAGAGCUGAAGAGAAUGGGGGAGGAGUUCCGCGCAGCGGAGGCGUAGCAGUGGUGCAGAUGGAAAUCCUCCGUCCUUUAGCCGAGGAGGCCCCAAGGCUAAGAGUCAGGAGGAAUCAACUGAGCUCUAGCGUAGUUGGCCAUAGUGAGGCAUGGGCUGACCUUCAGUAGCUUGCAGCUAACCUACUUGAGUUCUUCCAUGAUCAACCACUCCAGUGACAUCCCAGCCGAUGACUUGACUUAGCCGUGUAUCGGCUCUUUGAACAUUUUAAGUAUUAGCUGUUGAUCGACUUUUAACUUUAUUUCUCUUUAGACUUGAUGAUAGCCAUAAGGCCAACCAAUUUUGAAAUAUUGACUUUUUUUGGUGGCCGAGUAGCCUACCACUCAAUUAUGCACUUUCGUGAAUCGACCUUUAAUUGGAUGUAUUUGGAUUUUCUUCACUA